rnacentral:rRNA from 1 species
AUGAACGCUAGCUACAGGCUUAACACAUGCAAGUCGAGGGGCAGCAUGGUCUUAGCUUGCUAAGGCCGAUGGCGACCGGCGCACGGGUGAGUAACACGUAUCCAACCUGCCGUCUACUCUUGGACAGCCUUCUGAAAGGAAGAUUAAUACAAGAUGGCAUCAUGAGUCCGCAUGUUCACAUGAUUAAAGGUAUUCCGGUAGACGAUGGGGAUGCGUUCCAUUAGAUAGUAGGCGGGGUAACGGCCCACCUAGUCUUCGAUGGAUAGGGGUUCUGAGAGGAAGGUCCCCCACAUUGGAACUGAGACACGGUCCAAACUCCUACGGGAGGCAGCAGUGAGGAAUAUUGGUCAAUGGGCGAGAGCCUGAACCAGCCAAGUAGCGUGAAGGAUGACUGCCCUAUGGGUUGUAAACUUCUUUUAUAAAGGAAUAAAGUCGGGUAUGCAUACCCGUUUGCAUGUACUUUAUGAAUAAGGAUCGGCUAACUCCGUGCCAGCAGCCGCGGUAAUACGGAGGAUCCGAGCGUUAUCCGGAUUUAUUGGGUUUAAAGGGAGCGUAGAUGGAUGUUUAAGUCAGUUGUGAAAGUUUGCGGCUCAACCGUAAAAUUGCAGUUGAUACUGGAUAUCUUGAGUGCAGUUGAGGCAGGCGGAAUUCGUGGUGUAGCGGUGAAAUGCUUAGAUAUCACGAAGAACUCCGAUUGCGAAGGCAGCCUGCUAAGCUGCAACUGACAUUGAGGCUCGAAAGUGUGGGUAUCAAACAGGAUUAGAUACCCUGGUAGUCCACACGGUAAACGAUGAAUACUCGCUGUUUGCGAUAUACUGCAAGCGGCCAAGCGAAAGCGUUAAGUAUUCCACCUGGGGAGUACGCCGGCAACGGUGAAACUCAAAGGAAUUGACGGGGGCCCGCACAAGCGGAGGAACAUGUGGUUUAAUUCGAUGAUACGCGAGGAACCUUACCCGGGCUUAAAUUGCAGUGGAAUGAUGUGGAAACAUGUCAGUGAGCAAUCACCGCUGUGAAGGUGCUGCAUGGUUGUCGUCAGCUCGUGCCGUGAGGUGUCGGCUUAAGUGCCAUAACGAGCGCAACCCUUGUUGUCAGUUACUAACAGGUUCCGCUGAGGACUCUGACAAGACUGCCAUCGUAAGAUGUGAGGAAGGUGGGGAUGACGUCAAAUCAGCACGGCCCUUACGUCCGGGGCUACACACGUGUUACAAUGGGGGGUACAGAGGGCCGCUACCACGCGAGUGGAUGCCAAUCCCCAAAACCUCUCUCAGUUCGGACUGGAGUCUGCAACCCGACUCCACGAAGCUGGAUUCGCUAGUAAUCGCGCAUCAGCCACGGCGCGGUGAAUACGUUCCCGGGCCUUGUACACACCGCCCGUCAAGCCAUGGGAGCCGGGGGUACCUGAAGUGCGUAACCGCGAGGAGCGCCCUAGGGUAAAACUGGUGACUGGGGCU